rnacentral:piRNA from 1 species
UCCGAGUCUCUUUCAUUCAUUUGCUUGAG